GUUGUUGAUGAGAGAAGCACUAGAGCGUAUUCUUACACCAUUUUAUCGUACAGACUACUUCAGGUAGUUUCGAUUUACGUGUAGAGUAGCACCGUGCAAGUCAUUGUGGUGAUUUCGGUUGGAUUAGAUAUUGAGCUUUAGAAUUAACCGUACAGGACCAACUGCAGGGUCUCCAGUUGAUUCCUUAUUUCACCUGUUAUAAUGUUGCAUUCUUAUUCUGUUGUUGACGCUUAUAGCAUGGCAUACUUUCUGGUUUUUGGUAAAGAUUUGUGAUUUGAGAUAUAGGAAGAUUUAUAUGCAUAUUAUGUUAUUUUAUGGGAAAGUAUACAGGUUUUACAGCGAGGGGUUAGAAAUGUUAUUAUUUGAAACGUUUUCGAAAAGCUUUGUUUUACUGACCCACUCAACUUUGUUUUGCACCCCUCCAGGUUCUAGUUAGCAGCAUUGGUGGUCCACGAGGAUUCCCACGACAU
rnacentral:lncRNA from 1 species